ACCACCAAAUUAUCUGCAAAUGGGGUAAGAUCCGACACCUCCUUGAAGGUUAAUAUAGGCUCUCUUACUCAACUCCUAUCCUGCGACGUCCGUUUCGUGCAGUGGUAACAUGUAUCAUCGUAUAUCCAAGCUUGGGUAGACGGGCCCAGUCCCAACCCCUUGGGCGGAUGAUGGUACAUGGCCAACCAGGAGGGG
rfam:Anopheles gambiae str. PEST whole genome shotgun sequencing project, whole genome shotgun sequence.